rnacentral:misc_RNA from 1 species
AUAACUCAAAGCAUAAAUGAAUUGUCUCAAAAGUCAUUUACGUGAAAAAAAGACUGUUCAUAUGAAUUUUAUCACUGUUAUCAAGCUUGACACACAGGUAGGAUAAAUAGAUAAACAAUCAAACAGUAUUUUGCAUUUAGUCUAAUCUUAACUAAAUUAAUUUGAGUGCCAAAUAUGCAAGACUAUAGCAGCAGUUGAUAUAAUUAGAGACUUCAACUGACGUAGUGUUGUUUCAUGAUUUGAAUUAUUACGGUUCAACUUUGAAUAAUUACGGUUUAAACUUUUGGCUUUUGAUUUGAAAUUCAGUGUUUUUUUUGUGCUUAUGCAUA